GGAUAAGUGGCUGAGUGGUUUAUAGCGAAGAUCUGCUAAAUCUUUAUAUAAUAAUAAUUAUAUCGUGGGUUCAAAUCCCACCUUUUCCA
rnacentral:tRNA from 1 species